UACGUAGGGUGCAAGCGUUUGUGCCGGAAUUAUUGGGCGUAAAGAGCUCGUAGGCGGAUCUGUCACGCGGCUGUGAAAACCCGAGCUCAACCUCGGGGCCUGCAGUCGAGUACGGGCAAAACUAGAGUACUGCAGGGGAGGACUGGAAUUCCUGGUGAUAGCGGUGGAAUGCGCAGAUAUCAGGAGGAACACCGAUGGCGAAGGCCAGAUCUCUGGGCCGUAACUGACGCUGAGGAGCGAAAGCGUGGGGAGCGAACAGG
rnacentral:rRNA from 1 species